rnacentral:rRNA from 1 species
UACGUAGGGGGCAAGCGUUGUCCGGAAUCAUUGGGCGUAAAGAGCGUGUAGGCGGCUCGGUAAGUCCGCUGUGAAAGUCCAGGGCUCAACCCUGGAAUGCCGGUGGAAACUGUCGAGCUAGAGUCCGGAAGAGGCGAGUGGAAUUCCUGGUGUAGCGGUGAAAUGCGCAGAUAUCAGGAGGAACACCAAUGGCGAAGGCAGCUCGCUGGGACGGUACUGACGCUGAGGAGCGAAAGCGUGGGGAGCAAACAGG